AUUGAACGCUGGCGGCAGGCUUAACACAUGCAAGUCGAGCGGAGAUGAGGUGCUUGCACCUUAUCUUAGCGGCGGACGGGAGAGUAACACGUGGGAACGUGCCCUUCGGUUCGGAAUAACCCAGGGAAACUUGGGCUAAUACCGGAUACGUCCGUAAGGAGAAAGAUUUAUCGCCGAAGGAUCGGCCCGCGUCCGAUUAGCUAGUUGGUGGGGUAAUGGCCCACCAAGGCGACGAUCGGUAGCUGGUCUGAGAGGAUGAUCAGCCUCACUGGGGCUGAGACACGGCCCAGACUCCUACGGGAGGCAGCAGUGGGGAAUAUUGGACAAUGGGCGCAAGCCUGAUCCAGCCAUGCCGCGUGGGUGAUGAAGGCCCUAGGGUUGUAAAGCCCUUUCGGCGGGGAAGAUAAUGACGGUACCCGCAGAAGAAGCCCCGGCUAACUUCGUGCCAGCCGCCGCGGUAAUAC
rnacentral:rRNA from 1 species